rnacentral:rRNA from 1 species
AGAGUUUGAUCAUGGCUCAGGACGAACGCUGGCGGCGUGCUUAACACAUGCAAGUCGCGCGAUUCUCGAAGUUCGGGGUUGGGAGUUCGAACCUCGAACUUCGAACCUCGAACUUCGAGAAUAGCGGCGGACGGGUGAGUAACACGUGGAUAACCUACCCAUUAGACCAGGAUAACACCGGGAAACUGGUGCUAAUACCGGAUAAGCUCUUUAGAGUAAAAGCCUUAAAGAGGAAAGGGGAAACUCACUAAUGGAUGGGUCCGCGUCCUAUUAGCUAGUUGGUAGGGUAACGGCCUACCAAGGCGACGAUGGGUAGCCGGCCUGAGAGGGUGACCGGCCACACUGGGACUGAGACACGGCCCAGACUCCUACGGGAGGCAGCAGUGGGGAAUAUUCCGCAAUGGGGGAAACCCUGACGGCGCUAUGCCGCGUGAGUGAAGAAGGCCUUUGGGUCGUAAAACUCUGUCUUGAGGGACGAAAAAAAUGACGGUACCUCAAAAGAAAGCCCCGGCUAACUACGUGCCAGCA